UCGAACACUAAAUUAAAAUCCGUGAAUUCGUCCCUGCUCCCGUCGCCCUUCCCUUCUCCGGCCAGACCACCAUUCGUUCGGAACUCGUCGUCGCCGUCCGACAGUGCCGCACGGCUGAGGUCUCGCCGCUUCCCGGCGUUCGCGAAGUCCAGCAAGGCUCGUCGUCCUCUUGCGAGGUCUCUGCCUCAGCUGCUGUUCGGCGAAGCUCGAGGCGCCGCCCUCUCACUUUCGCUGUUCCCCGACUAAAGCUAAGCCCUCUCUAGCCCAUCUUAACUUCCUUCGUUAUUUGCAAAUUUGGAUUGGUAUUGAGGUGUUGAGCUUGUGGCAGCUAGAACAAAUUUGGAUUUUAGGCUUAGGGUUAUGAGCUCCUAUUCUACUGAUUGAAAUAAUCGUUGGCACUAUUGGAAGAGAACCUAUAUGUACACAUGAUGAGUUCCUAUGUUCUGAGAGUUGAGUACUCCUAAGCUGCCGGGUUUGAGUGGAGGCCAGUAGCGUUUUGUUCCUCAGUUUUCAUCAUGUAAUAGCUCCAAAGUGCUUCAUGCUUGGUGUCUUUUUCUUUUCUACUGAUUUACUUGAGAUUUAGCAUGGUAGUUGAGGUUCCUAAACCGUGGUGCCUCUAUAUGAUGUUAAGUUGUAGUAUGGUUACCUGAAAACUGCGGCUGGUUUGCAAAGGCUCCUAGACCUCAGCUCUCUUACUCCUUAGCUUGUUAUGUUGCUGGAGAAGUUCUAAAAAGCGUUCAUACGUAGUGUGGGCAGGGUUUUUAUAGCUGAAAUCGUGUACUAGUGAAGCAUUAAUUUGGGUUGUUGCAUGUUUUGUUUCCUUCUGCAGUAGGUACUCUUCUCUGGGUCAUUGCAGCCACUUUAACUGCAAGUCCUUGAUGGUGAUUUUUGCAGGUGCACAACAAGGGUGUAGUGGUUGUUUGGCUGUGCUCUGCAGGCUGAAUUGUCUCAUGGGCCAUGGCAGCCUUCGGUCCAGGCUGAGAGUGCAGGAGUAACUGUUACACUGCCUCUUUUGGCAAGGGCUGAUUUAUUCACCGAGCUGGGAAGAAGACCGGCCAUAGGUUCGCUCGUUCCUACCAAAGACCGGACCGAGGGUUUGGGCAUAAGGAGAAAGCCCACAAGUGCAAAAUGGCACUUGAUUCCUUAAGCUCUUGGCCAAUAUUUGAAUACUCUUUGUAAUAGCAUUCAAGUUCUCUUUUUUUUACAAGUGUAGUCGAACACUUAGGUUCGGAAAUAAAGUUCAAGACAUGUUCAUCUUGACCUUUUCAUGUAUUAUUUUUCCUUUAUUUUCGUUAUUAUUUAUUUUUUUGUAAGCUAGAACUUAGCACGGAAUAUUUAGCAUUGUA